GUASGGWYCAAGCGUUGUUCGGAUUUACUGGGCGUAAAGGGCGCGUAGGCGGCGUGUUAAGUCAGCUGUGAAAUCUCCGAGCUUAACUCGGAACGGUCAGCUGAUACUGAUGUGCUAGAGUGCAGAAGGGGCAAUCGGAAUUCUUGGUGUAGCGGUGAAAUGCGUAGAUAUCAAGAGGAACACCUGAGGUGAAGACGGGUUGCUGGGCUGACACUGACGCUGAUGCGCGAAAGCCAGGGGAGCAAACGGGAUUAGAUACCCCGGUAGUCCUGGCCCUAAACGAUGAAUACUUGGUGUCUGGAGUUAUUAUUGCUCCGGGUGCCGUCGCUAACGUUUUUAGUAUUCCGCCUGGGGAGUACGCACGCAAGUGUG
rnacentral:rRNA from 1 species